rnacentral:rRNA from 1 species
UACGGAGGGGGCUAGCGUUGUCCGAAGUUACUGGGCGUAAAGCGCGCGUAGGCGGGUUGGUAAGUCCGCUGUGAAAGCCCGGAGCUCAACUCCGGAGGGUCGGUGGAUACUGCCAGUCUUGAAGGUGCUAGGGGGAGAUGGAAUUACCGGUGUAGCGGUGAAAUGCGUAGAUAUCGUGAGGAAGACCAGUGGCGAAGGCGGGUCUCUGGACAGUUCCUGACACUGAGGCACGAAGGCCAGGGGAGCAAACGGG